AACGAACGCUGGCGGCAUGCCUAACACAUGCAAGUCGAACGAGACCUUCGGGUCUAGUGGCGCACGGGUGCGUAACGCGUGGGAACCUGCCCUUAGGUUCGGAAUAACUCCCCGAAAGGGGUGCUAAUACCGGAUAAUGUCUUCGGACCAAAGAUUUAUCGCCUUUGGAUGGGCCCGCGUUGGAUUAGCUAGUUGGUAGGGUAAAAGCCUACCAAGGCGACGAUCCAUAGCUGGUCUGAGAGGAUGAUCAGCCACACUGGGACUGAGACACGGCCCAGGCUCCUACGGGAGGCAGCAGUGGGGAAUAUUGGACAAUGGGCGAAAGCCUGAUCCAGCAAUGCCGCGUGAGUGAGGAAGGCCUUAGGGUUGUAAAGCUCUUUUACCCGGGAUGAUAAUGACAGUACCGGGAGAAUAAGCGCCGGCUAACUCCGUG
rnacentral:rRNA from 1 species